rnacentral:lncRNA from 1 species
AUUUUACCGAAUUGUCAUAUGCAUUCUCCUGACCGUCAAAUUCCCGAAUCGCUAUACUCUCAACAUAUCAAUUUCCCGAAACGUCAAAUACGCGAAACUCUAUAGCUCAACCUUGACUCGCCAUAUGUCUGUGUUUUACAAUCGGACUACCUGGGGCCGUUGACAUUCGCAGUCAGCGGCCCCAACGAGAGCAUGUCAGCGUUAGCACACUCCUUGCCUAUGCGAGCUACCAAAUUGCAAUGUCAAUGGGCUGCACAAAAUCAUUCGGAAUUGGCAAUUCAAUUCUACCACCAGGUAACAAAGGUUUCCCAAAAGACGAUGCAACUGUCGAGGCACUACCCACGGGUUAAUGGAAGCUAAGGCAACCUCCACACGCCGCACCUGACAUGGGCCUGACAGUUUUUCAUUUCAAAGCUAGCUCGGCUAGGGAGGAUCGUCAAGAACUUUCCAAAACAGAGAGACACAGCAGUAGUGACAGGACACCUUAGCACCCCUAGGUAUUAACGCAGCCACAAUUGUCUUCAAAUGCUGCAGACGCUCCCGUAAUAGCUGCGCAUUGUGGAAAGCUAACUUAGGGUUAUUUGGGAUUAUUGGAGAGCAAUUCCGAGAAGAUGAGCAGUCCAUGGAAACCCGCAGAACCAGAUAAAUUAGAGCGGGAUCGUUUCCAGUUUGUUCUACAGAGCGUUAUCAUUGCAGUGCUCUCAUGUAGCGCAAAAUUUGAGGUAAAUCCCGUAGUUGAGUCCACCACUACCAACCGCUGCGUUAGCCUGCUUUGUCUAGUACCGCUCUCUCUCACUCGUUUCAUAUGUCUUCAGAGUGCGCGUGUAGUCCGGAAUUUCAUUGAAGAAAAGGAAGGAGACCCCGGAAGAAGAAAUAUGUGGAAAUAGUUUAGC